rnacentral:rRNA from 1 species
CAGUAGGGAAUAUUGGGCAAUGGGCGAGAGCCUGACCCAGCCAUGCCGCGUGCAGGAAGACGGCCCUCUGGGUUGUAAACUGCUUUUGAAUGGGAAGAACGGUACCCUUGCGAGGGUAAUUGACGGUACCAUUAGAAUAAGCCACGGCUAACUACGUGCCAGCAGCCGCGGUAAUACGUAGGUGGCGAGCGUUAUCCGGAUUUAUUGGGUUUAAAGGGUGCGUAGGCGGCUUAAUAAGUCGGUGGUCAAAGGUAGCAGCUUAACUGUUUUACAUGCCACCGAUACUGUUGAGCUUGAGAUAUGUGGAGGCAGAUGGAAUUUCCGGUGUAGCGGUGAAAUGCAUAGAUACCGGAAGGAACUCCUAUUGCGAAGGCAAUCUGCUACAGAUAAACUGACGCUGAUGCACGAAAGCGUGGGGAUCAAACAGGAUUAGA